UACGUAGGGGGCAAGCGUUGUUCGGAAUGACUGGGCGUAAAGGGUGCGUAGGCGGUGUAGCAAGUUAGAAGUGAAAUACCUAGAGCUUAACUCAGGUGCUGCUUCUAAAACUGCUAUACUUGAGUGCAGUAGAGGAAAGUGGAACUCCUAGUGUAGCGGUGGAAUGCGUAGAUAUUAGGAGGAACAUCAGUGGCGAAGGCGACUUUCUGGACUGUAACUGACGCUGAGGCACGAAAGUGUGGGGAGCAAACAGG
rnacentral:rRNA from 1 species